CCAGGUCUUCCUGUGGCUGUCCUUCUCGCUCAGGUGUCCCGGGCAGCGCAGGUACCCGGAGUGCUUGCAGGAUCCUGUAGUCUCCACCCGGAACCCAGUUUCCUGCUGAUGCUCUUAGCUCCUCUGCUCUGGGCAGGAGCUUUGCGGGUGUGAACCUGGGGAGAUUUCCAAAUCACUUUCACACGAGGUGCCUCAUCAGUGCCUCACGGCAGCUCUGUUAGACAGGUAGGGCAGGAUCAUAAACCCAUUUCACACACGAGAAGAUGGAGGCGCCCAGAGGAUUGUAGAACUUGCCCAAGACCACUGGCCUCAGGUAACCAAGGGUCAAGGGUUAGGAAGCCAUUCCCAAGACAUCAAGCCAGGCAUGCCAAUAACUGAAGAGGAGUAAUCCGCACAUUAAGGCCAUUUUCCAUCGUCGCUGUACAGAACCGAUGUAUUUAGAAUUACUUUAAGAAAGAAGCUUGAAGUUGGAAGGUGGACAAAAUGGAAGGGGUCUAUAGAAGGAGAGCGGUGUCUGCAGCUGAGAUGGCCUGGUUAAGAGCACUGGCUGCUCUUGAAGAGGAUGUGGGCUGGGCUCCCAGAACCUGCACGGUUGCUCACAUCUGUCUGAGACUGCAGUUCCACGGGAUCGAGGCCCACUCCCCGUCUCCACAGGCACGUGCUGACACACACACAAAGCUUCUCAGUAACAGAAAAUGGUCUUGAAUUCCACCUGACCCUCCUGCAUUUAUAUCUAAGAUAUGGAGACCACAGGUGAGAUUAACACACCUGGCUUUGGCGUUUUUUGUUUGCUUGUUUGUUUGUUUUUCUUUUUCUUUUUUUUUUUUUCAUGUAUGGGGAAAAUGAGAAUAUGGAAUCAAACCCAGGGACACAUAUAUUUUAUCUCUGAUCUAUACCGCAAAAAGCCCACCUUUUCAUCAUCUCAAAGUUCAUACUUAUAUAUUUUUAAAAUGAAUGGAUCAGAAAAUACAAAUGCUGUUACAUACUGUUUUUUUUUUUCUUCAUUUCUAUUUAAUACUUUCAGCAGA